UACAGAGGUCUCAAGCGUUGUUCGGAUUCAUUGGGCGUAAAGGGUGCGUAGGCGGCGCGGUAAGUCGGGUGUGAAAUCUCGGAGCUUAACUCCGAAACUGCAUUCGAUACUGCCGUGCUUGAGGACUGGAGAGGAGACUGGAAUUCCUGGUGUAGCGGUGAAAUGCGCAGAUAUCAGGAGGAACACCGGUGGCGAAGGCGGGUCUCUGGGCCGUAACUGACGCUGAGGAGCGAAAGCGUGGGGAGCGAACAGG
rnacentral:rRNA from 1 species